UUAAGUUGAAUUUUAUUUGGUCCACAAGAAAAUAUUUUCCACAAAAAAUAUUGUAAAAAUAUAUUGUAGUGUGUUUUAUUUGGGAAUACUGAUGUGCCUUAGUCCAGAGACGUCAACUUUACAAAGUUGUGCUGCAGUUAAUGUAUUUUGAACCAUUAUUAGAAUAUCAAGUCAGUUACAUCAUAUCCACUCAGAUUAAUCUUGUUUCCUGGAGAAAAUAUAAAGCAAAUGUAUUUUUAAUUCCUAAACAGUUUUGCAGAGUAUGCCAGUCCCAAACUGGAGCGCCUUUAUUACACAAAAUCAAGUCAAAUAAUCAAUAACUUAGCUGGAAACCCACUGUCAGUAGCUCUAAAACUCUAGCACAGCUUAGGAUAAAUGUGUUUAGGUGAAGAAGUCUUUAUUUUUACUAUGUAUUAGUAUUGGGCCUGUUAAAUGCACACCAGAGGUCUGGAGAGAGAUCUCCCUCCAUCUCUUACCAGACUGUAGCACUGAAUGGAUUUAUUUUCUGUUAAGGGUAAGUGCAUUAUUUAUAAGGACAGCAUCCUGUAAAAGAGAUGAUUUUCCUGGUGAGAAGCCAUCUCCCUGUUGUUUGCUUUCCAUUUGCUGCAUGCCUUCCCUGAAGUGCCAGUGUCACGGACAGCAUCCCAAAGCUGCUGGAAUUGCGCGUGGGGCCGCUCUGAAGCUGCUGUAAUCUCCAGGCACCAGUGAGGGCUGAGGUUGGAGCUGCAGGUGAGGGACUGGCUGGGCCACCAAGAGCUGGUGCUGAGUAACCCCGGGCAGCUCUGGGGGCAGGCAGGGCAGCCACCCCACCCAGCAGCUCCUCCCAGGGGAGCAGCUCUUGGGGCAGGGUCAGGGUGACUGGGCGACCUCCUCCUCUGGGGACAUUCCCAGUGCUGAUCACACGGGAUGCUGUGCUGGAACCUCAGGCUGCUUUAUAACUCUGCCUGCUGUUGGACCGUGCAGUGGCAGCCUGCCAGCAGGGAACUGCUUUCAAAAGUGCAUCUGAUAUUCUUAAAGAGUGUCAGAUGCUAAGGCUACAUCCAGAGGAAGGAUUUGAGACAUGGCAACAGGACGCACUGCAGCACCUCACUGCCCGUGGCCACCACCAGGGUGCCUUGUACAAGGGCCAGGGCAGAUCCACCUAAAGGUGCUCUGACAGCGAGUCCAGUUUUCUACCUGCUCCUCAUCUGCCUGGCCAACAAUGGCUGUGGAGCUUUGGUUUUUUAUUUUUAAUUACUGUGGUUAGCAGUGUUCACAUUCUCAAGCCCACACUCAUGUUAGAAAGGUUGGCCCUUUUUUUUUUUUUUAUUAAAGCUUUAUUUUAGCAAGAGUAAGAAUAGGAAUCUUUUUUAAUACUGUGCUUAAUCAAUAUCCAGUUGAUAUGUACUGACUUGGAUCAGUGAUUUGGCUUUGCUUUCUAACUCACACUAAUCCCUGGAGGUAUUUUAGAGCAAACAGAGUAUGAGCAAGUGUUUUAUAUGCUGUAGAACUUGAAGGAACAUCACUCUUAGCAGGAGAAUUUAAGUGAACCAUAAAACCUUAGUCCCACUUUGCAAACAGCUUUGAAGACAACUACGUAACUUCAAAGAGGACAACAUUACAGCAUAAGCUGAUUUUGUUACUUUUUCCAGCAAAAGCCUGAGAAGAGCCUUAAUAGCAGGUCACUGGGAAUCCAGUCUGGUCACUGGGAUUUAAUGGCAGCCUUGUGCUGUGUCACAAAGAAGCAUUUUUCACCUUUCAUUCCUGAUAAAACCACUUCCCAUAUAGGGGAAUUUCAAAUACCUACAUUUGUGUCACAACAUUUGCAAAACAGCUCAGCUCAUAGACUGUCUACAGCAUUUGACAUGGUCCUCUUUUUGCUUGCUUCCCAUUGCUUGAAAAAUCCUGCUUUGGAUCAUUUACUAGAACUAUGUGUACCUUUUAAAAAUAGUAACAGCUUUAGCCAGUAUGGAAAGCAUUUCUCUGUAAUAUUAAAACAAAAUGGAAAGCAUUUUGAUCUAGGAAAAAGAACUAUGUCUUUUAAACUGGGCAUCACAGAGAACAGAACAAACAGGUGGUAAAAGCCAAGCUGUUAGAAGGCCUUCACUUUGUAUAAACCUCAGCAACACUGUACCUUUGGGAUGAAUGAAAAUAAUCCGUGGGUGUCCUGAUCUGUCAGACGCCAGCGGUGAGUGCAGCGGGUCAGGCUGCGAGACCCGGGCAAGCAGGGAGCGGUGUGUGGAUGCACCGGGGGAGAAAUGCAGCCCUUGAGCUUCGGGCCUAAGGCUUAGUCUGUAACUCUGCAUUCAGGGCACUGCUCUGUGCUGGGGCUCCUGUGGCUCCUGCUGGCAGCGCCAUGAACAGGUUUUCCAGUGGGGAAGCAGCAGCCUACAGAAGCUGAAGGAAGACGUCCUGCCUGUCCCAAGGGUGGUACUUCAGAGAGGAAUUGCAGUGUAAUGUAACCACAGCUCCCAUGAAACAAAUUGUCCUAAAGCACUGUCACACCUUUGAAGGUUCUUUUCACUAGCUACCAUCAGUAGUUUUUGCACAUCUCUCUGGUAAAACAACAAAACCAAAUCCUCCCAAACUGGCACCCUAACAAAAAAUCCCCAAACAAAAUCAAAAAACCAAACAGCUUUGGUCUGAAUGCAGUGACCAGAUGUCAUUAACCCAUCUUACUGCAGGCUUUUAGAGAAAAGCUUUCAUGCAUUUACAGAAGCAUCUGUUAAUGAUAAUGCACUGCUUAUCAACACUGGCAUGUUUCUCCCUGGUUCACUUCAAUGGAAGGUGAAUAGCAUCAUCAUCCAAAUGGCUCCCUGAAUACUACUGGGGUUUACAAAGUGCCUCCUAUCACCUUCAUUUUGUGAUCUUACAGAUUCCGUUAGGUCACAGAAUCAAAAGUAAAAUUUAUGAUGGCAGUAACCUUUGCUACAUGCAGACCUUGAUUUAAUUUCAGCGAAACACACACAAAUUCACCAAGCACAGAGAGUUCAUCCCACCUACAGACAGAUCACUGAUCUUUUAUGCAGAACAUAGAAAUGAUCCACGUUUUGUCCUCUGUGGCAGUGUUUGUAGAGGUGCAGGGCAGCCACAGUCUUCUCAUCCUUUUAACGCUUAUUUCUGGUCACAUCCAACACAUACAAAGACAGAGUAUACUCAAUGCAUGGCUGACAACAAAUGACACUCGAUGAACGGGUUCUACUGCGAUCCAAUCAGUUUGUUAGCACCCUACGCUACAGGGCAACUUUUCUCAGGCUCUCCCUGCAGACCCCUCCCCACAGUGAUGCUCAGAGGGCAGCUGGGGGUGCUUCCUCUGCACUGGCACACGCACAGAGCACACUCAGGCCCCGGAGAGCUCAGGGCACGUCGCUCUCGAUGAAGGGGAUGUCGCUGUACUUGCUCUCGGUCACCGCCCACUGCUUGACCGCCUGCUCCAGGAUCUCGCGCGACAGCCGCUGCGCGUAGUCCAGCACGAUGGUGCUCGAGGGGCCCUUCUCCUCCGCCUGCACCGCCAGCAGCGACGACUUCUCCCCAGCGCAGCCCUCGCCGCCUCCCCCGAUCCUCUCAUCCUGGACAGCGUUGGAACCUUGGAAGGCAGCCUUGGAUUUGAUGCAUCCCAUGGUACAUUGGAAAAUGCAGCUGCAAAAUUCAGUUCAACAGCAUGUUUUGAUAACCUGGAAGUGGUUCCCUUGUUCGAUGCAGUGUCGCUGCUUCUUGCCAGUGGCUCCAGUUAUUUUCAAAGAACAGAACAUCUCC
rnacentral:lncRNA from 1 species